GACUGGUUUUGACAGCGGGCAGGAAGAAUGUGUAAGCAUGCAGUGGGUCGUAAGUUCUCACUUAAAUCAUAGCUUUCAACAAUUUAGUUGGCGAAAAUAGACUCGCUCUCGCUGCCUGAUUGAAGCAUAGUAGAUCACUGGCUUAAUCCGCACACAAGGUGAGCGGACGAGACAUCUCGCAGGUGGAGAUUCCUGAUUCCGGCCUGAGCACGAGGUGCUAAGCAAUUUCGGGAUAGCCUUGUCGGUGCUCCGACGGCAGAGCGAAACACAGGAGAUAAGGUCGCGUUUAGGGCGUUCGCUCCCUUGCGCGGCUCGAAAACCAACAGCGGAAUAAGCAUGUAGAAACCAUGGGGGUUCCUUGUUUGGACGAGGGUUCGACUCCCUCCAUCUCCACC
rnacentral:tmRNA from 1 species